rnacentral:rRNA from 1 species
GAUGAACGCUGGCGGCGUGCCUAAUACAUGCAAGUCGAACGCACAGCGAAAGGUGCUUGCACCUUUCAAGUGAGUGGCGAACGGGUGAGUAACACGUGGAUAACCUACCUCAAGGUUGGGGAUAACAUUUGGAAACAGAUGCUAAUACCGAAUAAAACUUCGUAUCGCAUGAUACAAGGUUAAAAAGGCGCUACGGCGUCACCUAGAGAUGGAUCCGCGGUGCAUUAGUUAGUUGGUGGGUAAAGGCCUACCAAGACAAUGAUGCAUAGCCGAGUUGAGAGACUGAUCGGCCACAUUGGGACUGAGACACGGCCAAACUCCUACGGGAGCUGCAGUAGGGAAUCUUCCACGAAUGGGCGAAAGCCUGAUGGAGCAACG